UGGGGAAUAUUGGACAAUGGGCGAAAGCCUGAUCCAGCCAUGCCGCGUGUGUGAAGAAGGUCUUCGGAUUGUAAAGCACUUUAAGUUGGGAGGAAGGGCAUUAACCUAAUACGUUAGUGUUUUGACGUUACCGACAGAAUAAGCACCGGCUAACUCUGUGCCAGCAGCCGCGGUAAUACAGAGGGUGCAAGCGUUAAUCGGCAUUACUGGGCGUAAAGCGCGCGUAGGUGGUCUGUUAAGUUGGAUGUGAAAUCCCCGGGCUCAACCUGGGAACUGCAUUCAAAACUGACUGACUAGAGUAUGGUAGAGGGUGGUGGAAUUUCCUGUGUAGCGGUGAAAUGCGUAGAUAUAGGAAGGAACACCAGUGGCGAAGGCGACCACCUGGACUAAUACUGACACUGAGGUGCGAAAGCGUGGGGAGCAAACA
rnacentral:rRNA from 1 species